rnacentral:tRNA from 1 species
UCAUGUUAAUUAGUUUAAGUAAAACAUAAGCUUUGUAAGUUUAAAUU